AAUUGAUAUUUUCACAACUAUAUUCGAGAUUUUAAGAAAUCCAGAUUUCUGACUGCUCCAGUUCCAUAUGUUUAUUCUUGUAGGUUCGGGCGAACCACCAUUACUUCUGUCCGCUUCAGUUCACUGUGCAGUAAGAGAUGCCAUCAAAGAAGCUAGAAAAGAGUUGUUCUCCAAUGGAGGAGGAGCUGAAGAUGAGGACCCUCGAGUAUUCCAACUCCCGGUCCCUGCCACAAUGCCGGUUGUUAAGGAGCUAUGUGGAUUCGACAAUGUUGAAACACACCUUAUGAAGAAGUAAGUAACUUACUUAAAAACAAACACACGACAUGUAUACAUUCCGAUUAAAAUCAUAAAUUUUGUAGUUUUGUAAAAUAAAUUAUAUAUUUGGUUGAAUGAAUUGAUAAUCUAAGAGUAUGUUCUAUACUAAUUGACAUAACAGAAUUAACUGACUAUAUUACAAUCUACAAUUAUACUAUCAUAUAAAAUGCAAUAUAAGUAGUUUAUAGGUCAUAAAACAAAAGAACACAUCAUAAAAUACUAACUGAGCUAUAUUUCUCAAUCCACAACAAAGUAUUGGAUUGUUGUAGUUGAAAUAAACAAAACUGGGUUUCAUCUUAGCCAUCAAAAAAACACUAGAAUAUGUAAAAAAACAUUGACAUAAAACAAUAUUCCGAGUGGAUGGAAUAUGUGAUGACAGAAAAUCAUAGUUGAAUGUUGCAUAAAAUACUUACCGGAGCUGUAGUCUUCCGACAUCCUGCAAACAUCGAUCUGUUCUUCGACCUCUACUGCAAUGGACAAGAAUUUGGAAGUUCUUUUCCAAACUGGGAAGAAUUGAAGGAGAAGUUUGUUCAAGUAUCGAACUCUUAAUUCCUAGGAUUUGAGAUAACAAAAAUAAAAACUGGAUUAUACAUUUGGCAAAAGAAAUAUGACAUGCACCAGAGCACGUAUCGGACAAUAGAAGAUCGCCGACGACAAGAAUGAGAAGAAAACUAAAUUGCAAGAAAGGAAUUUAAACUGGAAUUUUGUAUCCCUUCAUUUCAUAGUUACUGGGUUUGAGUUGGAAUUCACAUUGGUAUAUGUAAUUAAUUAGCUGGAGAUUGAGAUGUAAAAACACCUUAUACUAUCUCUCAUUCUCAUACGACAAUUAGAUAUAGAAUGGACACCCAAGAUUGACGGAUUCUACUACCCAAAAAUUGUAAAUCAUCCUAAAUGUUUUUAAUUAUAAAGUUUACCUAGAUUUAGAAAAAAAACGCGGUUGUAUGUUUAAUUUCCGUUGACAAAUAAUGAUUUACCAAAAACACUUCAUAUGUUCGUUCACAUUUUCUGUGGUCUGUGGGUUGUCCGUUGCUUGUUGGUUUGAAUUUCUUUUAUUUAUCUUAAUUUUCCAUGAUUAAGAUGGGAAAAUGUGCAAUUUGUCAAUAUAUUUUAUCCUUCCCUUUCAUUUUCUAUUCAAAAUAAUAAUAGAAAAUAAAAAAACUGUCUUAAAUUCAACUUUAUCAAAUCAAUAUUUAUCUAUCUAUCUAUCUAUCUUAUGACUUAUCUUAAAAGUAAAAUUAUUGUGGAUGUAAUUAAUAGCUGUAAACUAUUUCCUUAUAAGGUUUUGAUUAAACAAUAUUUAAAUUUCAAACAUCAAUGCUCCGUGCCUCCGUCUACCUGACUCUACCUAUAAAAAAAAUAUUUAAAUGAAGCUCAUGUGCAUUUAUAUUUAUUUAUUUAUUCUAGAACAAUAGAUUGAGUAUUAAUUAAAAUAAUAAUGGAGGUUGAAAAUUUGAAAUUGAAAAUAAAUAAAUAAAUAAUUGUGAACGAGAUUUAAAAAAAAAAGUCAAAUAUUAAGUUUGAAACUUUAAUGGAAAGGAGAUGGGUUAAAUCGAAUGCUUUAAAAGCACAUGGAAUUCUAUCAUUCAGAUCUACAAAGUAAAACCUGCCUGAACGAUGGUGUUGGGAACAAGGACUUUUGUUCUGCUCUGCCUGUGUAGCUGGACAUGUAUAGUUUCCGGCUCUGAUUACAUCAAGUACAAGGAUCCCAGUCAACAUGUAGAAACUCGCGUGGAGGAUUUGUUGGCCAAGAUGACCGUGGCGGAGAAGGUCGGCCAGAUGGCUCAGAUCGAACGUUCUAUCGCGUCUGGACCUGUCAUGAAGAAAUACUUGUUGGGUAAUUAAUUAUAUUAUAUAUCAUCGAAUCUAUUUUCGUGACUCAGAUUAAUCUUUUUCUUCAUCAAUUCACUCAUUAAUACUCAGGGAGUGUUCUCAGUGGGGGAGGAAGCGUGCCCAAGCCCAAAGCCACGCCCAAGGAUUGGGUGGAUAUGGUUAAUGAACUUCAAAAAGGAGCCUUGAAAACUAGACUUGGUAUUCCGAUGAUCUAUGGUAUCGACGCCGUUCAUGGCCAUGGUAAUGUUUAUAAAGCCACCAUUUUCCCUCACAAUAUCGGCCUCGGAGCCACUAGGCAAGUCUUUUUAACAUUCCUAUAAUUAACAACUUAAACAACUCCUCAUGUAUAAUCAAUCAAUCAAUCAAUCAAUCAAUCACAGGGAUCCAAAAUUGGUGGAGAGAAUAGGCGCAGCAACUGCGUUGGAAGUUAGAGCAACCGGAAUUCCCUAUGUUUUCGCUCCAACCAUCGCGGUAAGUAAUUACUUGUCAUAAUCUUUGAAUUGAGAUUGAUCGAUCGGAUUCUGUUGGUCAGGUGUGUAGAAACCCAAGAUGGGGGAGAUGUUACGAAAGCUAUAGUGAAAAUCCAAAGCUUGUCCAAGCUAUGACGGCAAUUAUCCCCGGCCUACAAGGCAAGGGAUCCCACAAAGGAGUUCCAUAUGUUGCUGGAAAGUUCGUAAUUUAACGAAAAAAACAAUUUGAAAUAUUAUAAGUUCGAAACCAAAAUAAAUCAUAUAUGUUUUCAUCAAUCAGGAACAAUGUGGCUGCAUGUGCAAAACAUUACGUAGGAGACGGUGGGACUAAAAAUGGAACCAACGAAGGGAACACGAUAAUCAGCCGAAAAGGGUUGCUAAACAUACAUAUGCCACCUUACCAUAACGCUGUCAUGGAAGGCGUUUCUACUGUUAUGAUCUCGUAUUCGAGCUGGAAUGGUGUGAAGAUGCACUCUAAUCAUAACCUAAUCACUAAUUACCUCAAGAAGAAGCUCAAGUUCAACGUAAUUAAGAUUUAAACACCUGCAUAAUUUAGGGUGAACUUGCGCCCUGACUGGGUUUUGCUUUCUAGGGAUUUGUUAUCAGUGAUUGGCAAGGGGUUGAUCGGCAGACUACUCCUCAAGGCGUGCACUAUAAAACUUCUCUAGCAACCAGCAUCAAUGCAGGGAUCGACAUGGUAGAUUGUCCGAUCUGAAAAAAAACCUUGUGGAUUGGAUUGGAGUUUGAUUUUGGUUCUUAUCUUGAGCUGUUUUCUGUAGAUCAUGCUUCCGUUCAAUCUAUCGAUGUACUUGAAAGAUAUAAAAUCCUUGAUCAAAGAGAAGCGGAUUCCGAUAUGGAGAAUCGACGAUGCCGUUCGGAGAAUCCUCAGAGUAAAGUUCAAGAUGGGAUUGUUCGAGCAUCCCUUAGCAGAUUAUAGCCUCACACAUGAGCUUGGCAGCAAGGUUUCAUGACUUGAAUCAAUCCAUCCAUAAUUAUUUUUACUUUACUUCUUUUUCUUUUUUUUUGAUUUUGUUCCGAUUGGUGCUGAUCAGAAACACCGGGAUCUGGCAAGAGAGGCUGUGAGGAAAUCACUGGUGUUGCUUAAAAAUGACAAGCACGACGGAAAACCGUUGCUACCUCUGCCGAAGAAGGUCAAUAAGAAGAUCCUUGUCGCCGGUACCCAUGCCGACAACAUCGGAUUCCAAUGCGGCGGAUGGACUAUCAACUGGCAAGGAUUCAGCGGCAACAAAGAAACUUCCGGUGAGAAAUCGAUUGACUGAAUCAUCUAAUUUUCCGAACCCUAAUUUCAAAUUUUCACCCCACCCGUCCCUUGCCGUCUAUAUAUUUAGGUACGAGUAUCUUGAAAGCCAUAAAGAAAACCGUCGGAUCAAACACAGAGAUCGUGUACGAAGAAAAUCCCAAAUCACACAGCAUGAACAGCAACGAAUACUCCUACGGAAUCGUCGUUGUAGGAGAGCCACCUUACGCCGAGACUUUUGGAGACAGCGCGAAUCUCACGAUCCCUGAGCCAGGACCGAGUGUGAUCAAGAAUGUAUGCGGAAAGAUGAAAUGCGUCGUUGUUUUGAUCUCCGGUAGACCGUUGGUCAUCAAACCAUACAUGAAGAAGAUCAAUGCACUCGUUGCCGCUUGGUUACCUGGAACUGAAGGUCAAGGCGUGGCCGAUGUAUUGUUCGGAGACUAUGGAUUCUCUGGUAAGCUUUCUCGAACUUGGUUCAAGUCCGUCGAUCAGUUGCCGAUGAACGUCGGAGAUAAACAUUACGACCCACUAUUCCCCUUCGGAUUUGGACUCACCACCAAAUCGCAAAUGUAGGUGAAUAACCAACCACAUUUUGUUUUGUGGCCCCACUUGACAUUUAAUACUUUCGUUGGUUGAUAUUUAGUUCCAUAAAUAAAUUAAAUAAAUGGAUCCUUCUAUCUACACCGAUAGUCCGAUAAUAACAAAUAAAUAUGUAUAACUUUAUUAAGAGUGGCGCAUGUCAAACAUCGUUCUUCCAAGCGAUCGAGAACAGCUUCCAGAAUGAACUUUUCACGGAUUCGAUUGUACACAUCGUUACUACCGCGAAAUACAAAACAUCUACCAAUGGAUGAGUCUCCUCCGACGUGAAAUUUUCACGACCGGUAAUGAUGAUGUACAAUGUUAAGUACAGUAGAGCGAGUCAUACGAUGUUUCCCGACUUUUUCCAACCCACUAGAACGCAAUAACCUCUGGCGAUCGAUGAAGACGUCCGUGAUCGAUGAAAACUGGAAUUACCUUUGGAUAAAACCUGAACAGCCGAACCGGCAGAAGAUUUGUAUUGCAAAAACGUCAUCCACACCGUUGUAUUGCAAAAACUUGUAUUGAAGCAGGUAUUUUUCUCUCCAUCGUUCUUCUUGGAUAUAUUGGGAGCAAAGCCUUGCCAUUUAUACAUAAAAGAACGAGAGACGGUAGGAUUUAUUAUCAAUUUGGAAGAGUUUAUUAUUUUUCAAUAAACGAUGAUGACAGAGGCGGAAGGAUGUGAAAGGCAAGCGGGACUGGGAAAAAAAGAUGAUCGUUUGUUGUUGUUGGCGCCAGAGGCGGAAGGAUGCGAAAAGCAGGUUGGACUAGGGAAAAAAAAGAUGAUUGUUUGUUUCUGUUGCUUAUAAGGGUAUAUCAUUUAUAAGGGUAUAAGGGUGUUUGUAAACAAUCUUCAUCGAUGACGGACUUUCACCCUUAUAUAAAUGAACGCAACUAACUUUCACCCUUAUUUACAACUUGUAUAUUUAAAAAUGAAAUCAUAAUUACGUGAUGUGACAUUUCACGAUCACAUCCGUAAUUCACUAAUUCAUUUAACAAUAAAUAAUAAAAUGAAAGAAAUAAUAAAUCAAACAAAAAUAAUAAUAAAAUAAUUUUUUUAACAAUAAAUAAAAAUAUUAAAUCACCACACUCCACACCACAUCAUCCUCGUGAAUCAUGAUAGCAAUAAAUAAAAAAAUCAGUUCUUAAAAGAUCAUGACAAAGACAAAAAAAGUUAUAAUAAAACCUAUAAGUUAUAAUCAAAACCUAUAAUAAAACCUACAAAAACCCCUAUAACUAAAACCUAUAAAAACACUAACACCUAUAAAUAACCCCAACUAACGACAAUACCUAACUAAAAUCGUAAAAAAGAAAAUCUUAUCCUUAGAAGGAGAUGAUCCAAAUUUCUUAGAUAUAUCUGUUGAGAGUUGGAUCGAAGAGAUGAGAGUAGAAGGAGGUGAUCGGAGAUAGUUGUGAUAGUUGGAGAAGAGAGAAAGAUGGGUCAACUAUUCUGAUGAUUAAUUGACAUAGUUUAUCCUUAGUACAUGUAUAUCACCCUUUAAUUGGGUUAUUUAUCUAUUGACCCUUAUGGGGUAUUUUGCUGUUCCUUCCUUGUAUUGUAUGUUAUUCCUUUGUGGGGGUUUAUUGAGUUAUUUGUAUUGUUUCCCCUGACACCCCCC
rnacentral:lncRNA from 1 species